CGCGUAGGCGGUGCGGUAAGUCACCUGUGAAACCUCCGGGCUCAACUCGGAGCCUGCAGGCGAAACUGCCGUGCUGGAGUGUGGGAGGGGUGCGUGGAAUUCCCGGUGUAGCAGUGAAAUGCGUAGAUAUCGGGAGGAACACCUGUGGCGAAAGCGGCGCACUGGACCACAACUGACGCUGAGGCGCGAAAGCUAGGGGAGCAAACAGGAUUAGAUACCCUGGUAGUCCUAGCCCUAAACGAUGGAUGCUUGGUGUGUCGGGUACCCAAUCCCGACGUGCCGCAGCUAACGCGAUAAGCAUCCCGCCUGGGGAGUACGGUCGCAAGGCUGAA
rnacentral:rRNA from 1 species